UAGGGAUUAGAGUGACAGUUCUUUAAAGAGAGAGAGAUACAGAAAUGCAACCUUCAGCUAAAUGAAGUUAUUCCUUGUAAGACUAAUUAAUGCUCAUAUUUGUUUAAUCUCCAAAUUCCAACACGUGCCACAGGAGUGCUGUGCUUUUAUAGACCGGGGCAGUGCAAAAAACAUUCCGUAUCCAAGAAAAUCUUGCCAAAAUCCCUGGCAAUGCAUCUUUUCUUUUUCUCCAACUUGUAAUCCUUGUUUUGCUCUUGGUGCUCAUGGUAACAGUAACAGCUGUCGAACAUGGCUUCAGGCUGUCAGACUCCCUCGGGAGAAUUUAUGUGUUUUUCUACUUCCUUUCCUUAUUAGGAGGCAGGAAUCUGUGACACCUAUUAGAACAAGCAUGCAUAAAGGGUAAUGACUAUGCAAUUUAUUAGUGGUCUGUGCUUCUUCAAGCAAACCAUCGACCGCAAGCAUGCAGUGUGUGCCAGGGGCUGGGGCUAAGUAUGAUCCUGCUGUGCAGCAGGUGGGCAGUGGCAGGGCUAUGCUACAGGGAGAAUUUUGGCAAGGGAGGCUAGAUGCUGAUUUGUUUAAAUAAACUUCUUAAUUAAAUAUAAGUGAAAAUAGUUGGGUUGAUGAGUUUCUCUUCCUAAGGGUUUAGUUUGAAACCCCAAGUGAGGAAAACAAAUAGCAGUAAUCCAAAUCCUGUGAUUUUUGUGCCUGUAUAAUUGUCGUCCUUAACCGUGGUGUCCUUGGUACUGCUGAGCCUCAUAAGCAUUCCCCACAAGUUGUUGUGCCUGUAGAAGACUGUCUGAUAAAGGGUCUCUCUCUACAUUUGAAGAUGUGCAUACCUAUGUUUGCUCCAUGAGUCGGCUCAGCAUCUAGACAUCGUGUACUAAUACCUGAACACUUUUCACAGAGAUUCUCUAUCAUUUCUGUUCAUGGUGUUAUUUGAAUGAGCAGCAGAAAACAUCUCAUCCUCUCUUAAAAUGUCAUCUUGCUGUUAUAUUUUGCUGUAUCAAGCAACAACCUGAGCAUCUGAAGAGACUUGUGCAUAAAGUUCACGGGACCAUAUGUUUCUUUGCCCAUUUUUUCAGACUUGUGUCUGUCUGUUGCCAUCUGGUCUGCAGUGUGUAGCAGGAAGUAACACACAAAGUAAAACCAACUGUGGGUAUGAUACUAGCAAACGCAGCUCCUCACAUUUCAUGAAGGCUUGAAAACUCCAGUAGUUUUCCCAGAUUUGUAGCUGUCAUCUGAGGUGAAGUAGCAAAACAGAUUUUUGAAUGUGCCAAUGAAUAGCUACCAUCAAUGCACCUCUGUCCCUGAAGCAAAUGAAUUAUUGCCAAUGAUUAAGCAGAGCAUGUUAAUGCAUUAUGUUUAAAAGUCUAAUAGGUAGCUAAUGAGAGUGUUUUGUGGACAACUGGGCCACAGUGUGCUGUGACAUUUACCUUACAGUAGUUUUGAGAAUCCUUGAGAUCCACCAAUCUUUUGUAGAACUUUUAGCACUUCAAGGCAUACAAGCUGCUUAGGAAAUCUCUGCCCCAUACGGCUUUCUAGUUCUUACAUUCUUCUCACUAGUCCUUAGGCUUGGAAGUCCUUAGGCUUGCAAAUGAACCAAAGGUGUUGGGAAUACACUUGGAUGUCCUGAAUAUUUUUUCAGCAAAGCUAGACUGUUUGGAUUCCUGUCCCAGGAAAUUCUAGUUCAUUUGACCCAUUUUUGUCUUUCUGAAGUCCAACUGAAAAAGAAAAAUACAUUCCAACUCUAAAGGAGAAACACAAUCACUUGAAAACAUAUCCACCAUUGUUCCAUGUGACUGCUAUUAAUUUUUACAUGGAAUCCUCUUAAUCAGAAGGUAUGCAUAAAGCACUGUAUAGCUACAGGCAGAAACACAGGACUUCCUGCUGCUAUAAAAGCAGCAAUACACAUUCAGGUAGAAAAUUACUGCACUGAAUCAUUCAAAAGCUGG
ensembl:lncRNA